rnacentral:rRNA from 1 species
GACAGAGGAGGCAAGCGUUGUUCGGAAUCAUUGGGCUUAAAGCGCGCGUAGGCGGCCUUGUAAGUGUCUUGUGAAAUCCCACGGCUCACCCGUGGAACUGCAGGGCAAACUGCAAGACUUGAGGUCGGUAGAGGCGCCUGGAACUCUAGGUGGAGCGGUGAAAUGCGUAGAUAUCUAGGGGAACGCCGGAGGCGAAAGCGGGGCGCUGGGCCGAUGCUGACGAUGAUGCGCGAAAGAGUGGGGAGCAAACAGG